UAGCUGCCCCAUUUUUUAUUAAAUAACUCUAGUAUAUAUAAUAUAUAUAAUAAUUCUAUAUGACAUCUAUUCAAAUGUCGCUAUCCUGCCCAUCUCUGUGUGCCAUUCUUAAAAUGAGGGCGCUCCAGCCGACUUCUAUCCCCUAAAAAUGACGUGUCUGCUGAUCAUAACACUGGCUAGGAUCCAAUUUUUAUAUAUUUAUCCCCUAUAUUAAUGACCGCUCCAUCGCCUAAAAUACAAAGUCUGGGGCAAAAUGAAAUUUGAGUGCCCAAUAUGUCACACAUAAAUCUCUGAACCCUCAACCUAAAUUCUUGGAUCUUAACACACCAUAAAAAAACAUGGGUUGAAUCCUCAUCUUCUGAUUGGCAUCGCCAGCAGGUGGGUGUGUCUUUAAGACCAAGCCUAUACAAUCUAGAGGGGGUCCAAUAGAAUCGAUAUAAAAUAUUAAAUUGCAUAAGGCGCACCCUUGCAUCUCUAGAUGUAGACUUGAUGUUUUUUAGAAUCCUAGCCCACACUCCCUCCUCCAAUACCAAGUUUAAAUCUUUCUCCCAUAAUCUCUUGAGACGAAUAAUAAAUAAUAAACAGGGGGCCUGGGUAGCUCAGUGGUAAAGACGCUGGCUACUACCCCUGGAAUUCGCUAGUUCGAAUCCCAGGGCAUGCUGAGUGACUCCAGCCAAGUCUCCUAAGCAACCAAAUUGGCCCGGUUGCUAGGGAAGGUAGAGUCACAUGGGGUAACCUCCUCGUGAUCGCUAUAAUGUGGUUCGUUCUCAGUGGGGCGCGUGGUGAGUUGAGCAUGGAUGCCGCGGUGGAUGGCGUGAAGCCUCCACAUACGCUAUGUCUCCAUGGCAACGCGCUCAACAAGCCAUAUGAUAAGAUGCGUGGGUUGACAAUCUCAGACACGGAGGCAGCUGGGAUUCGUCCUCUGCCACCCAGAUUGAGGCGAAUCACUACAUGACCACAAGGACUUAAAAGCACAUUGGGAAUUGGCCAUCCCAAAUUGGGAGAAAAAGGGGGGGGGGGAAUAAAACAAAUUAUAAUAAUAAAUAAUAAAAUAUCAUCUGCGUAAAGCAAAAGCUUAUGCGUUCCCGCCACGACCCCUGGAAAAUCAACCUCUUUUCUUAUCGUGGCUGCUAAUGGUUCCAGGGCAAGACAGAACAAUAAUGGGGAAAGAGGGAAACCCUGACAGGUGCUCCUAUCCAGAGAAAAAUAAUCUGAAACUAAUCCAUUUGUUUGUACCACUGCUACCGGGUGUCUAUAAAGUAAUUUAAUCCAUCCAUUAAAAGUAUUCCCGAACCAUACAUUUCCAAAAUCUUAAAAAGAUAAUCCCAUGAGAACAUGGACACCAUGCGAUGUUCGGAUGUGUGAGCGGCAAGCUCUGUUAGUUUUGACACUACUAAUAUCAUAAACCGGUGAGAUUCGAUACACUGUGUUCCAUAACUGUUCUAGGAGGAUAAUAUGUCAAAGAAUUCAAAAUCCUCAGGCUCUGGAGACAUUAAAAGACACUUACGUGCUCAAGCUGACACCCCCAAGCAGCAGGCUCAGAGACAGGACUCGAUUUGGUCGGGGAAGUGCGGGAAAUUUGGCAAGAAAUGUUGACAUGACGGCAGUGCUGACAUAGGUCGUUGCUGACUUGGAGGAUCUUGCUGUAAUACAUCGAUCGAUCACUGCCAUGGAGACGAAAUUCACUGAGAUGGUUACAAGAGUGGGGGAUGUCAAGAAACGGAUUGAUUAUCUGGAGUCAUUGGAGAGGGAAUUAUCUGCUAAUCCGCUAACGACUAAGGUGGAUUUGGAGCAUGUCUGGGAGAAGUUGGAGGAAUUGGAGAAGUGUAACCGGUGGAAUAACACCCGUAUUGUUGGAAUUCCUGAGGCCGAAGAGGGUCAGGAUAUGGUGAAAUUCCUGGACGGGCUCUUUCAGAGUCUGCUCAACAUAACAGGCCAUAAGCUGUUAUGCUUGGCGAUCCGCUGAGGGAGACAGGCCCAGAUCAAUUAUGGCCAAAGUAAAGGAAGUCUUUCUUGGAAGAACCACAGCAUUUUCUUGUUCCCAGACUUUGCGAAUUUGACAAGAGAGAAACGUGAUUGAUUCAAGGAAUGCAAGAAACAAGUCACGUGGUGCCAUGCGAGGGUCAGAUGUGUGAACGGCGAGCUCUGCACACUUUGCUAGUUUUUAAUUAUUUUUGUAUCAUAAACCAGUGAGAUUUAAUACACCCUGCUACAUAACUGUUCUAAGAGGUCAACAUGUCAAAGAAUUCAAAAUCCUUGGGCUCUGGAGAUAUUAAAUACACUUACGUGCUCAAGCUGAUACUUCAGACAGGCCCGCAGACCAGGGACUCAGUUUGGACGGUGUGGUGGUAGAAAUUCAACACCAGCUGUCCAACAUGUCUGUAAUGCUGAUGAAAGUUGUAGCGGACCUGGAAGUUCUUGCUGUAAUACAUCAAUCGAUUAUGGCAAUGGAGGCGAAAUUCUCUGAGUUGGUUACAAGAAUCGGGGACGUCGAAAAAUAGAUCGAUUGUCUGGAGUCAUCGGAGAGGGAAUUAGCUGCUAAUCCGCUAGCAACCAAGACAGACUUGGAACGCAUUUGGGAAAACUGGAGGAUUUGGAGAAUCAUAAUCAGCGAAACAAUGUCUGAAUUGUUGGAAUUCCUAGAUGAGCUCUUUCUGAGUCUGCUCAAUUAAACAGGCCAUAAGCUGGAAAUCGAGCGAGCUCACAGAGUCCCUGCUCGUAGAUCCCUGGAGGGAGACAGGCCCCGAUAAAUUCUGGCCAAAUUUCUGAGAUCAUCCGAUAAAGAUCUCGUGUUACGCGAGGCGAAGAGCAAAGGAAACCUUUCUUGGAAGAACCACAACAUUUUCUUAUUCCCAGAUUUUUCAAAUUCGACAAGAGAGAAACAUGAUCGAUUCAAGGAAUGCAAGAAACUCUUACAUCAAUGGAAGGUUACUUUUGCGCUGAUGUUCCCGGCCAAAUUGAGAAUAGAUACUAAGGAUGGCCGCAAAGUAUUUACAUGUCCACAGCAAGCAUUGACUUUCAUAGAGACAGUAAACCAUUUGAUGUUUCUUAUGUGGCCCCCAAGUGAGCUUGACUCGUUGAACAUAUACUUGACUGUCUGAGGAAGCUGGUUGCCUUUUUUUGUUUCUUGUUGUGCUGGUUCCACCUAGCGGCUGGAGCUUGUUUUGUGGAAUAACACUCCUUCAGGACAGUUGUGGAUGAAUCUGCUCAUUCUUUGUGCUUAUGCCUCCUAUUGGCUGGAGUUUGUUUUGUGCAGUAUUUUUUGCAGGACAUUGGAAGGAUUAGGGCAUCUGCUGCACUCAUGAACAGCCGGCUCACUAAACAUUCAUUUGACUGUCUGAGGAUGCUGAAGGUUUGUUAUUUAUUAUUUAUUUAUUUUUUAUUUAUAUAUAUAUUUUUUUUUUAUUUGUGUGUGUGUGUGUGUGUGUGUGUGUGUGUUGUGUGUGUGUGUGUGUGUGUUGGUUCCACUAGAGGCUGGAGCUUGUUUUGGAGAGGAACACACCUUCGGGACAGUAUGUGGAUUAAUCUACUCGUUCUUUGUGUUUAUUCUGCCUAUUGGAUGGAGUUUGUUUUAUAGAUUUUAUUCUGUUUCACAAAAUUUGUAUAGAAGCACCGGACUUGAGCAAUCCGAUGGCAAAGCUGUCGUGGGGGCUCUCAUAGGUGUACAUGGACUGUUUAAGUUUAGAGCGAUGGACGUCAGUUGGCACUGUCAUUCGGGGGUUUCGCACAUUUUUCUUUUUUCUGUUUGUUUGGUUGGUUGUUUGAUUGUUGCACUAAUGUUGCAAUGUGGUCUUUAUUAUCUUGUUUUUGACACACAAUCUAUUUUUUCUAAUAUGUCAAAUGUUAAUAUGAGUGGAUUGUCUCUCUCCAUGUGGAAUGUGAAUGGGUUGGGACACCCCAUAAAAAGAAGGAAGGUUAUUACUUUUCUUAAACGUAAGAAAUAUGAUAUUGUGUUUCUUCAAGAAACGCAUCUUUCUCCACAGGAAGCUGAAAAAUUUGGGAAAAUAUGGGGUGGGCAUGUUUUCUUUAGUGCUGGCUCAAGUAAGAGCAGGGGAGUCAUUACAUUGGUAAGUAAGCAUCUACAAUUCAAAUGUCUCAAACAGAUUAAAGAUAAAUUAGGAAGAGUCAUUAUUGUUUUAGCAGAAAUUUAGGGGCAACGGUUGUUUUUGGCUAAUAUUUACGCACCUAACGCUGAUGAUCAGGGCUUUUUUAUAGAUCUUGAAGGGAUGUUGCAAGCCGCUAACACCCCUCAUGAUAUAAUAUUGGGAGGAGACUUUAAUCUUUUGAUGGACUCAGUGCUUGAUCAUAGUAAAGCAAAAGUGCACAAGCCCCCUAGAGCAACACUGACAUUUCACAGGAUGAGUAAAAAUAUUGGUCUUACAGAUAUUUGGAGAUUUUGAAUCCAUCUGCUAGGGACUAUACAUUUUUUUCAUCAGUCCAUAAGAUUUAUUCUAGAAUAGAUUUUUUUUUAAAUAUCUAAGUCCCUCAUUUCAACUGUUGUGGAUUGCUCAAUUGGAAACAUUUUAGUCUCAGAUCCCGCCCAGGUGAGUUUAGAGGUGUUGCCACAUAUGGAGAAAAGGAAGUCAUAUAGUUGGCACUUUAAUGUAUACCUUUUGCAAAAUCCUGAAUUCCAACAAAUGUUAAAGGCUGAAAUCAGUGUUUAUAUGGAGACCAACUGGUCCUCAGUAUCCUCAGUGGCCAUGGCUUGGGAGGCACUUAAGGUGUUCUUAGGGGCCGGAUCAUACAGUAUGCCUCAUUCACUAAAAAAUCCAAAGCACAAGAGCACGUGGAGUUGGAAGGGAACAUUAAAAGUGCCGAGGCAGAGCUGAAGCGGCAAAUGUCGUCUGAUGGCCUCAGAGAAUUGACCCAUAUUGAAAUACAGAUAUAAUACUGUUUUGUCACGGAAGGUGAGUUUUGGCAAUUCAGGGAAAGACAGUCAUACUUUGAGUCAGGGGACAAGGCAGGAAAACUUCUGGCUAGAAAUGUAAAACAGAGAGAGUCUUUUUCUAACAUUCCCUCAGUGAAAUCUGCUGGUGGUGAAAUAUUUACCUCAGCCAUUGAUAUUAAUAAUGCUUUUAAAGAAUUCUAUCUUGAUCUCUAUAGUUCCACGUCUUCGUCUACUGAUGAGGAUAUUAGAAACUUUGUGGAACAAUUAGAACUCCCUAAACUGACGGCUGAGCAAAAAAAAAUUUCUUGAUUCUGAGAUAAACUUGGAGGAGGUUGGCAAGGUAAUUAAGGCCUUGCCUACAAGCAAGGCUUCCGGGGCCAGAUGGCUUUGCCGCUGAAUUUUUUAGAUCUUAUGCUACAGAAUUGGCUCCACUUUUGCUAGAAGUUUAUACGGAAUCAUUAAAGAAUGGAAAGCUUCCCCCAACCAUGACGCAAGCCCAGAUCAGUCUGAUUUUUAAAAAAGGACAAAGAUCCAAGUGAGUGUAAGAGUUACCAUCCAAUUUCCCUGAUCCAGCUAGACGUUAAAAUAUUGUCAAAUUUUGGCUAACCGAUUAAGUAAAGUUGACAUCUCGGUAACACUUUAUUUUGAUGGUCCCAAGUAGAUAUUUAACUGACUAUAAGUGACUUAUCAACUGGCUUGCUAUAGCUAGUAAACAGUGUUUCAACAAACAUUCAGUAGACUAUCAAUAGCCUGUAUAACAGCAGCAAAAUAAUAGCUUAUCGACUGACUUGCUAUAGCUAGUAAGCAGUGUUUCAACAAACAUUCAGUAGACUUUCAGUAGCCUGUAUAUAGAUCUCUAUUAAUGACCUACUUACAUUAUUGUUGAGAACAUCAGUUCAUUAAAAAGUGAAUCUUAUUGAUUCAUAUAGAUAACAAAGAAAAACAAAACAAAUAUACAUAGAAUCAAUGAGCUCAUGCAGAGGAAGUGAUGUUGUUUUCAUUUCCUCAUUUCCACAUCUAGAAAUGUACAAAUGAGAUCAUUUUAUCUCAGUUCCCAUUUACACUAUAAAAUGAUAUGACUUAUCAUGUGCAAGUCAAUUUCAGACAGAUUUGUCUAAAACAAUGACAACUUUAACUAGAUUUUUGACAUUUUCUGAGGAAAAUGUGAGUUGGUUUGCCUGUGCAAAACUCGCUGCCCAAUGCUGGGAUGUUCUGGGUGCUUGAUAGGGUGCACAGGUUGCUAGGGUACUCGGGGUGGUUGAUAGGGUGUUCUGGGUAGUUGCUAGGGUGUUCUGGGUGGUUAAUAGCAUGUUCUGGCUGAUUGCUAGUGUUUUGGGUGGUUGCUAGAAUUUUCUGGGUAGUAGCUAGGGUGUUCUGGGUAGUCGCUAGGGUAUUCUGACUGAUUGCUAGUGUUUUGGGUGGUUGCUAGAGUUUUCUUGGUGAUUGCUAGUGUUUUGGGUGGUUGCAAGAAUGUUCUGUGUGGUAGCUAGGGUGUUCUGGGUGAUUGAUAGAGUGUUCUGGGUAGCUGCUAGGGUGUUCUGGCUGAUUGCUAGUGUUCCGGGUGGUUGCUAGAGUUUUCUGGGUGGUUGCUAGGGUGUUCUGGGUAGUCGCUAGGAUGUUCUGGCUGAUUGCUAGUGUUUUGGGUAGUUGCUAGCGUGUUCUGUGUGGUUUCUAGGGUGUUCUGGAUAGUCACUAGGUUGUUCUGGCUGAUUGCUAGUGUUUUAGGUGGUUGUUAGAGUGUUCUGGGUUGUUGCUAGGGUGUUCGGGGUGGAUGCUGGGGUGUUCUGUGUAGUCGCUAGGGUGUUCUGGGUGGUUGCUAGAGUGUUCUAGGUUGUUGCUAGGGCAUUCUGGGGGGUUUAUAGGGUGUUCUGGGUAGUUGCUAGGGUGUUCUGUGUGGUUGAAAUGGUGUUAUUGUUGGUGAUUGCUGUAGUGUUCUGGGUGGUUGAUAGGGUGUUCUGGGUAGUUGCUAGGGUGUUCUGGGUGGUUAAUAGUGUGUUCUGGCUGAUUGCUAAUGUUUUGGGUGGUUGCUAGAAUUUUCUGGGUGGAUGCUAGGGUGUUCGGAGUGGUUGCUAGGGUGUUCUGACUGAUUGCUAGUGUUUUGGGUGGUUGCUAGAGUUUUCUGGGUGAUUGCUAGUGUUUUGGGUGGUUGCAAGAAUGUUCUGUGUGGUUGCUAGGGUGUUCUGGGUGGUUGAUAGGAUGUUCUGGGUAGCUGCUAGGGUGUUCUGGCUGAUUGCUAGUGCUCCGGGUGGUUGCAAGAAUGUUCUGUGUGGUUGCUAGGGUGUUCUGGGUAGUUGUUAGGGUGUUCUGAGUCUGACUGAUUGCUAGUGUUUUAGGUGGUUGCAAGAGUGUUCUGUGUAGUUGCUAGGGUGUUCGAGGUUUUUGCUAGGGUUUUCUGGCUGAUUGCUAGUGUUAUAGGUGGUUGCUAGAGUGUUCUGGGGUUGUUGCUAGGGUGUUCUGGGUGAUUGCUAGAGUGUUCUAGGUGAUUGCUAGGGUGUUAUUAUGGGUGGUUGCUGGGGUGUUAUUAUGGGUGAUUGCUAGGUUGUUCUGGGUGGUUGCUAGGGUGUUCUGACUGAUUGCUAGUGUUUUGGGUGUUUGCAAGAGAGUUCUAUGUGGUUACUAGGGUGUUAUGGGUGGUUGAUAGGGUGUUUUUGGUGGUUGCUAGGGUGUUCAGGGUGAUUGAUAGGGUUUUCUGGGUAGUUGUUAGGGUGUUCUGACUGAUUGCAACUGUUCUGUGUAGUUGCUUGGGUGUUAUGUGUGAUUUCUAGAGUGUUUUGGGUGCUUGAUAGGGUGUUCUGGGUAGUUGCUAGGGUGUUAUGGGUGAUUGCUAGAUUGUUUUGGGUGGUUGCUAGGAUGUCUGGGUGGUUGCUUACAAGCUCCAAUUAAUAGAGCCCACACCCAAAUCUCUAUGAUAUUCUGGUCCCUACAUGUGGACCAAGUGUCUCUUUCAAAAUAAAUCUUUGAAAUAUUUUUGUCUGCCAUACUGAAAAUUGUAAGUCCGAUCACUUAGAAAAGUAAUCGCAUACCUCUCCUCAACAAACUGCACAAUUAAAGGCAUGGUUUAUGAUGGUUUAUACGCCUAUGUUUAAAACUUAUGAGCAAUAAUAAUAAUAGAGAUGCCUGCCUUAACAAGCAACACAAAUGUUUUGACAGUUUCAUUGAGUGCUGAAGCAAUGCAAAAUUCUAUGUAUUCAUGAGCAAACUGUGUGAAAGAACUUAAUCAUGGCUAGACCUUACAAUACUUGAAUUGUCACCAUUAAACAAGGAAAUGAAGACUUGAUAGUUAUAGAAAAGUGUGCAGAGAGAAGUGGUGGGAGGGAAUGGUGUUCUAAAUGGAAUAUAUUUAGCCAAAACGGCAGAGGGGGAGGUGCUAUUAAGAGUUUACUUCAGUGCGGUUUGUAGACACUGACUGUGAAAAAGAGAGAAGGAAAAACUGUGAUGUAUAAACAGUAGUAGGGAUCUGAUGUAACAUAUUGCAAUAGGGCCACACACACACACACACACACACACACACACACACACACACACACACACACACACAUUCGUACAUACUGUAAUUGCUGCAAAUUAAAAAAUGCUCACACUGAUUUUACACAUAACGAGCAACAUAAAGAGAAAUAAACACUUGGCAGCUGUAAAUUCGAUACUAUUAAUGGCUGUACAGAGCAUGCAAUGUACGCAACAGUAACGGUUAAUACCCUGAGGACUCUACAAGCCGUCAGAGUGCUACAGAGUGCAGCAGCCACAGUGACGCCAUUGUGGUUCAAAACGCACUUCCUGUCUGCUGCCACAAUGUUUGUGUUUCAUGUUGCCAUAGCAACUGCCAACACAUAAAUACCAGUGAAAAGAGAGAGAGAGAGAAACAGAGAAAAUCGAGGACAAACCCAUAUGACUAGCUGGAAUGAAAAAGCAAAUACAUUCAAACUGGCUUUGUGUGUGUGUGUUUGUGUGUGUGUGUGCAUGGAUUAGCAGUGGCCCCUGAAUAAUAGUAGGACUACCUGUAUUUUCCAUAGGGUUUUACUGCCAAUACCAAAAAACUCCAAUAAAUAUAUACAGUAUAACUUUUUAUAUGUAAAUGUUACUUCGCUUCACGUUUAACUAUGAAUAGCAUUUUGUAAAUUGAUAAACACUAGUCAUGUAAGGUGUACACCUGGGCCAACCUGUGCAAGGUAUAAAUCCAUAAGGGUGUAUCAACUGGCCACACCUUAACAUUCAAUCUUUAUGAAUCUUGCAAGUAAUGGGAAUUAUAUUGUUACAUGCAGAAUGUAUACAAUAUAAUUUUUCAGAAGCAGCAUCAGUAUAAAAAGUAGCAAAAGUGUAUAGUAAAAUAUAGUAUAUUAAAGUAUAGUAUAAUAUAGAAUGGUACAUUAUGGUAUGUUACAGUGGGGUGUAUUGUAUAGUAUAGUAUAGUAUAGUAUAGUAUAGUAAAGUAUUUUGGAAAUGAGUAUACCACAUGGUAGUAUAGUAUCUAGAAUGUUAUAAUACAGCAAAGUACUAUAGCAGUGCCUAUUGUAUAGUAUAUUAUAGUACAAUAUAGCACUAUAGUAAUGUAUAUUGUACAGCAUAAAGUAUUGUUUAUGCUAUAGAAUAAUAUAGCACUGCAGUAGUAUAUAUAUAUAUAUAUUUGUAUAUUAUAGUAGUAUAUAUUGAAUAGCAUAUAGUAUAGUACAGUAUAGCACUAUAUUAGUACGUAUUGUACAGUAUAGUAUUAUAGUAUUAUAUAAUUUAGUGCAGAAGGACAAAGACAGUAUAUUCAUUUAUAGUAAAUUUUAGUGUAGUACAGUACAUUGUUGUCUAUCUUUUUCUAUAGUGUUAAAUGGUAUAGUAUAGUAUAGUAUAGUAUAGUAUAGUAUAGUAUAGUAUAGUAUAGUAUAGUAUAGUAUAUUUGAUACACUUACAAAGAGAGAGACCAAACACACCAGACAGAGGGGUGAGACACUGACUGGAAGAGCUCUUAAAAUGAAACAGGAAUAAAGAGCUAGAUGUGUGUACGUGUUCGCGUGUGUGUGUCUGUGUGUGUGUGGAUGUGUGUGUUAGGAGGAAAAAAGUCUCUCUCUUUUAUGAGCUGUUGUGCAGUGUAAUUGCUCUGCGUCUUCCUGUCUUUCAGACUCAUAGAGUGAAGGCAGGCUCAACAUCUGACGUUAUACAAAUAGGAAUUCCCUUCACUGGUCUCUCUCGCUGUGCGUUCAUUCACUCUCACCCUGUCUGGCCCCCAGACGAACUCUCUCUCUCUCUCUCUCUCUCUCUCUCUCUGUCUCCUAUAUAAACACUCUUAGCGUCUAUACUGGAGUCGGGCACUCCCUCUGAGAAACAACUGCUGGAAGGUUCAACCUAGGCUUUAUACGGAUGAAUGAAAGAAAUAUAACAAACCAUUCAGUGGGCUGGUCUCCUGUGCCUGCUGUGCUGAUAAUCAGUGGAUGGCUGCAGCUGGCUCAGUUCAGCAGGAACAGGGGCCUGGUCUUCUCUCUGUGGCCUUCUGCUCCUUCACAUACACUGUGAUAACACAGAGAGAGGACUUUACAUACUGGAGCUGAACAAUUCACGUGACAGGUAUGAAAACCGUAGGACAUAAAUCCACAAAUGAACUGUUUAUAAUGCUAAAAACAGAAACUUUCACAUUUCCUUUGCUAUAAAAAUAGUUAAAUAAUCUGUUAAAUUAUGUACAUUUUUCUAUUUUAUUUUGUAACUACAGAUAUUGUCUGUUAUAACACUAUGGAUAAAUUAUUUUUAGAAAUUGUUUGGUGUCUUGCCUACUUGAUACACAGUUCAACAAUUGUUGCUGACAUAACAAUAGAGAAAAGAGAAUCAAAUUCAAAAUAUAUUUUUUGAAAUAUUUACAUAUAUUUAUUAACAUAAUACAUAUAUUUUUGUAUAUACUGUAUAUUUUAUAUAUUUAUUAUCUAUAAAUAUUUGGCAACCAUACAGCUAGUUUGUGAGCCACUCCCACAGCUGUUAUGUUUUCACUGAUGGCCAAGACUAUAUAUUGUGCAUCUUUGUACCGGGGAAUUGUACCCUGACGAAGGCUUUCUUAGCCAAAACACGUUGGCCAUUUUAGAUGUUGUAGCCCGGUUAAAUAAAGGCUUUUUAAUUCA